AGCUUGCUCCCUGAUGUUAGCGGCGGACGGGUGAGUAACACGUGGGUAACCUGCCUGUAAGACUGGGAUAACUCCGGGAAACCGGGGCUAAUACCGGAUGGUUGUUUGAACCGCAUGGUUCAGACAUAAAAGGUGGCUUCGGCUACCACUUACAGAUGGACCCGCGGCGCAUUAGCUAGUUGGUGAGGUAACGGCUCACCAAGGCAACGAUGCGUAGCCGACCUGAGAGGGUGAUCGGCCACACUGGGACUGAGACACGGCCCAGACUCCUACGGGAGGCAGCAGUAGGGAAUCUUCCGCAAUGGACGAAAGUCUGACGGAGCAACGCCGCGUGAGUGAUGAAGGUUUUCGGAUCGUAAAGCUCUGUUGUUAGGGAAGAACAAGUGCCGUUCAAAUAGGACGGCACCUUGACGGUACCUAACCAGAAAGCCACGGCUAACUACGUGCCAGCAGCCGCGGUAAUACGUAGGUGGCAAGCGUUGUCCGGAAUUAUUGGGCGUAAAGGGCUCGCAGGCGGUUUCUUAAGUCUGAUGUGAAAGCCCCCGGCUCAACCGGGGAGGGUCAUUGGAAACUGGGGAACUUGAGUGCAGAAGAGGAGAGUGGAAUUCCACGUGUAGCGGUGAAAUGCGUAGAGAUGUGGAGGAACACCAGUGGCGAAGGCGACUCUCUGGUCUGUAACUGACGCUGAGGAGCGAAAGCGUGGGGAGCGAACAGGAUUAGAUACCCUGGUAGUCCACGCCGUAAACGAUGAGUGCUAAGUGUUAGGGGGUUUCCGCCCCUUAGUGCUGCAGCUAACGCAUUAAGCACUCCGCCUGGGGAGUACGGUCGCAAGACUGAAACUCAAAGGAAUUGACGGGGGCCCGCACAAGCGGUGGAGCAUGUGGUUUAAUUCGAAGCAACGCGAAGAACCUUACCAGGUCUUGACAUCCUCUGACAAUCCUAGAGAUAGGACGUCCCCUUCGGGGGCAGAGUGACAGGUGGUGCAUGGUUGUCGUCAGCUCGUGUCGUGAGAUGUUGGGUUAAGUCCCGCAACGAGCGCAACCCUUGAUCUUAGUUGCCAGCAUUCAGUUGGGCACUCUAAGGUGACUGCCGGUGACAAACCGGAGGAAGGUGGGGAUGACGUCAAAUCAUCAUGCCCCUUAUGACCUGGGCUACACACGUGCUACAAUGGACAGAACAAAGGGCAGCGA
rnacentral:rRNA from 1 species